GAUGAACGCUGGCGGCGCGCCUAACACAUGCAAGUCGAACGAUUAAAGCACCUUCGGGUGUGUAUAAAGUGGCGAACGGCUGAGUAACACGUGGGCAACCUGCCCCUUUCAUUGGGAUAGCCACGGGAAACCGUGGAUAAUACCGAAUACUUCGAGACUUCCGCAUGGAAGACUCGAGAAAGCUCCGGCGGAGAGGGAUGGGCCCGCGGCCUGUUAGCUUGUUGGUGGGGUAACGGCCUACCAAGGCAAUGUUGGGUAGCUGGGUUGAGAGACCGACCAGCCAGAUUGGGACUGAGACACGGCCCAGACUCCUACGGGAGGCAGCAGUGGGGAAUCUUGCACAAUGGGCGAAAGCCUGAUGCAGCGACGCCGCGUGCGGGAUGAAGGCCUUCGGGUUGUAAACCGCUUUCAGCAGGGACGAGGCGAAAGUGACGGUACCUGCAGAAGAAGCCCCGGCUAACUACGUG
rnacentral:rRNA from 1 species